GUUUUAAACAGGGAAGGCCUCCUUCCACGGUUCUAACCAGCCAUGGGGCACCAGAGUCUGGGUUUCUCCCCUCAUCCGUAACAGAACACUCACUGCGGCCCACACUCUCCAGCCUGGUACUGACCUAGGCCCAACUCCGGCUCCUGCUGCUUCCUCCUGGUCUGGAUUCCCCGCCCCAGGAUGCACAUUUUUUUGUUCUAGCUAAGACCUGGUCUUUUGAUGUUUAUACGCUGGAGUUAGGUAAAGACUUCUGGUACAAACUGAUCUCAAGCUUGGAGUGUUCAGUUCCCAAGGGGAUGGCUACUUUCCUAAACACAAAGCACAAGGAGUGGGCCUGAGAACACGGACAAAUUCCUGUCCCUUGUCAAUUGAACAAGGCAUCGACUGUAUCCCUGCCUCAAGUGAUAAAUAAAAUGGCUAAAAACAGG
rnacentral:lncRNA from 1 species